AUUGAACGCUGGCGGCAGGCCUAACACAUGCAAGUCGAGCGGAGCUGCGGACGGGUGAGUAAUGCCUAGGACUCUGACUGGUAGUGGGGGACCCCGUACAGAAACGGGCGCUAAUACCGCAUACUCUCAGAUCAGCCUCGGUGGGAUUAGCUAGUUGGGGGGGUAAUGGCAUACCAAGGCGACGAGCGGUAACUGGUCUGAGUGGAUGAUGAGGCACACUGGAACUGAGACACGGUCCAGACUGAGAAGGGAGGCAGCAGUGGGGAAUAUUGGGCAAUGGGCGAAAGCCUGAUCCAGCCAGGCCGCGUGUGUGAAGAAGGUCUUCGGAUUGUAAAGCACUGUAAGUUGGGAGGCGUUACCAACAGAAUAAGCACCGGCUAACUUCGUGCCAGCAGCCGCGGUAAUUC
rnacentral:rRNA from 1 species